UUGCCAAUGGGAUAUGGGAUGCUGGU
rnacentral:piRNA from 1 species